UGCCCUACGGGGCGCAGCAGUGAGGAAUAUUGGUCAAUGGCCGCAGGGCUGAACCAGCCAAGUCGCGUGAGGGAUGACGGCCCUACGGGUUGUAAACCUCUUUUGUCGGGGAGCAAAGCGAACCACGUGUGGUUCAUUGAGAGUACCCGAAGAAAAAGCAUCGGCUAACUCCGUGCCAGCAGCCGCGGUAAUACGGAGGAUGCGAGCGUUAUCCGGAUUUAUUGGGUUUAAAGGGUGCGCAGGCGGAGGUGCAAGUCAGCGGUCAAAUUGCGGGGCUCAACCCCGUACUGCCGUUGAAACUGGCG
rnacentral:rRNA from 1 species